GAAACAAUCAAAUGGUAAAGGAACAUCAAUUUAUACUUUUACAAUAAAAGAAUGCUAUGGAAACCACAUAUGGCAAAGAACGUACUGAAAAACAAGUAAAGCAUGGGUUGCUUCUCUCAUUACCAAAUAUAAGACUUCAAAAGUGAUUAAAAAUAAUUACAUUCUUCACUUGCACACAUUAAAAUGCGAUGAGCAAAGCUGGGAGGGAAAAAGAAGAAAAAAACAACAGAUUGGCUGCAAACUUGCACAGGUUCCUAGUAGUGUGAUUUGACAUUGGAAAGUUGUCAACAUGCCUUUAACAUUUGUUCCUGUUACUGCGAAUUUACCUGCUGCAUCCUGACAGAAGCCAUUACAGUGAGUGUCCGAGCGGAUGGGACGCUGUUCUGCUGCAGGCCAUAUGUCCUCAGGACACACUACAGCAGACCUCCAUCAAAUAUUCACUCCGGAAACACUUCCUUCAGCUCAGCAGAUGCCCAUCACCCUCCAUCCCUGACCGGCCAAAACACAAACUCACAAGGGUGAUCAGACACGUGUCCACUACAAAAUAUCACAGAACGAAAGUUUAUUUUAAAAGCAGUGUAAAUAUAUAUACAAACACAUGCAUUGAUAUAUUUACGAAAAAUUGUAUGUUUCUAUAUUAAAUAUAUUUAAACUUAAUUAUUUAUUGGUAAUAUGCAUUGCUAAGAACUUAAUUUGAACAACUUUAAAUAUGGUUUUCUCAAUAUUUAGAUUUUUUUGCUCCCUCAGAUUCCAGAUUUUCACAUAGUUGUAUCUCAGACAAAUAUUGUCCUCCUAACAAACCAUACAUCAAUGGAAAGAUUAUUUAUUUAAAUCUUGAAUCAAUUACACUCAUGACUGGUUUUGUGGUGCAGGGUCACAAAUGUCUAUUUGACAUCUGAUAAGAAACCUCUUAUAGACAUAUUGCAGAUGAGCAAAUAUUCUGGUUUCACAGUUCCCACUUUCAAAGAUCGGCAGGCCGCCUCCUCUUGUCGAAUCCUGGUGUAGACUUCUGAGUAAGCAAACUCACAGAGAACUUCAAAGGGUCAAGGAUCCUGCCGGGAUUUGGCCGGCGAGAUGCUACCCGAUAGAUCCUGCUCUUCCAGGCGCAUUAGUUCGGGGCUGCUAUUUUUGUCCGGGGAAGCGCGGGCAUCGGUGAACUCUCCGAGGGAGGGGAUAGAGGGUUAAUGCCGCCCUGAUCCCCUCGGAGAGUAUUGGCUUCCAAGGGAGCCACAAGCAGCCGGGCAGCAGCCGGGGGAGAUCGAGUGCCUGAGCCCUGCACAACUUGAGAGAAACUAGCAGAGUAAUUUGAGCUAAUGACUUAGAAGCAAGCUCUGGCCUGACCCCGGGCUGGGCUGGAGCAGAUGCUAUCAGCUGAACACGACCCUCUAAAACGUGAAAAAGCUGCCCCCAUCUCGCUCUUUAGUCGACGAACUGCGAGUUAAGGCCAACUAGCCAAUUAGCAUUCUGGCCUGGGCUGCUAAACAGAAUUUUAAUUAGCGGCGAUACCGGUGUAACUUCAUUCGGUGGCCUCGCUGGGCUAAUGGCCGCUGUGGUUCCUUGGGGGGAUCAGUGUUGCCAGCCUAGACACUUUUCAGACCCCUAGCCAAAAUUUACUGACUUCUUGGACACACACCUCUUUCUUGGCUUUGUUCAGCGAGCGACUGAGAGGAACAACGUUUUCAGUUAAAAUAGAUAUUCUGUUGCUUCUCUAAUUUUACAUGCAAAUAUAGCCAAAAUCUCAGCACAGGCGUUGUCUUUGUCUUGUCUUAUCUUAUGUGUAUGUGAUUUAAUCAGACAACGGCUCAAUUAUAAAUCAGGAUUUUUUUUUUUUGUGCAGAUGAACAUCUUGCAAAGGAGAGCUGGUUAUGUAGUCUUAAAGGGCCACGCUUCAGUCAUUAUUUAAUCAAUCCGUUGUUCGACAACAGAAACAGUAAAAUAUAUAAAUGAAAUCAGUUUUACUGAGAAUUUGGCUGCAUUUAACAUACAGUAUGUGAGUAAUGAGAGGCAAACAAAUGUAAAAGGAAAUUUCAAUGAAUAUGCAAAUUGGCGUACUACGUCAUCUAGCGACAUUGAGCGACUUUUAAGCUGGCUUUAGCUACUUUCCAUUGAAAGAAGUUGGCAACACUGCGGGGCAUGACCGAAAUGUAAUAUGCAACGCAAAGAGAGGCACAGAUGGAAACUGAAGCAGAGAGAACACGUGGCUUAUUUUAAACUUUAGCCCAAGUCGCUAAUGGGGACUCGAUGUUUGGGUUCGUGAGCGCGAGCGGGCUCAUUAACGCGGCCAUCUUUCUUGAAUCAUACCCCGGUGUUAACAGAGAGAGGUGUGUGACGCAGGAGAUCAGAUGAGAUCACAUCAGAUCACGGGAUCC
ensembl:lncRNA